GGGGUUGUAGCUCAGAGGUAGAGUGCACUUGCCUCCCAUGCGUGAAGCCCUGGGUUCGAUCCUCAGCACCACA
rnacentral:tRNA from 1 species